AUUGAACUCUGGCGGCAGGCCUAACACAUGCAAGUCGAACGAGUGGCGGACGGGUGAGUAAUGUCUGGGAAACUGCCCGAUGGCGGGGGAUAACUACUGGAAACGGUAGCUAAUACCGCAUACCAUCGGAUGUGCCCCGAUUGGAUUGGCUUGUAGGUGAGGUAACGGCUCACCUAGGCGACGAGCCCUAGCUGGUCUGAGAGGAUGCACCGCCACACUGGGACUGAGACACGGUCCAGACUCCUACGGGAGGCAGCAGUGGGGAAUAUGGCACAAUGGGCGCAAGCCUGAUGCAGCCAUGCCGCGUGUAUGAAGAAGGCCUUAGGGUUGUAAAGUACUUUCAGCGGGGAGGCGGUACCCGCAGAAGAAGCACCGGCUAACUCCGUGCCAGCAGCCGCGGUAAUAC
rnacentral:rRNA from 1 species